rnacentral:rRNA from 1 species
UACGUAGGGGGCAAGCGUUGUCCGGAUUUAUUGGGCGUAAAGAGCGUGUAGGCGGCCAGGUAGGUCCGUUGUGAAAACUGGAGGCUUAACCUCCAGCUGUCGAUGGAAACCAUCUGGCUAGAGUCCGGAAGAGGAGAGUGGAAUUCCUGGUGUAGCGGUGAAAUGCGCAGAUAUCAGGAAGAACACCAGUGGCGAAGGCGGCUCACUGGCCCGUUACCGACGCUCAGGCGCGACAGCGUGGGGAGCAAACAGG